UGCCAGAAAGAAGAUCCAUGAGAGGAUCAAUGCUAUCCACUUAUCUUUGUCAGUUCUGAAAUCUCCAGGAGCUGAAGCUCAAGUAAAUGAGCUUAGAAAAGUAUCAAUAAAGCUAAGCAAAGCAUUGAACUUGGAAGGGAUCAGAUCAAUGGUGGAAAGAUUGACACAAAAGAACAACAUUCCACAGGUUGCCAAAGAUGUAGAAUCAACAGCUAACCAGUCAAUGCAAGAGAUGAGAGAAACUGAGGGAACUGCUGGCAGAAUAGAGACUCUACAUGGUUCUGAGUUGCCAAAUGGAAAUGCCUCUAUGACUAGACCGGAGGGAGUACUUGAUAUGUGCUUCUUAUCAAAGAUGAUCAUGGUGCAAAGAUGAAUAUUUACAUAUGGUAAGAGACUGGCGCCAGCGCAAUUGAAGCGGGGCGAGGUGAUACCGCUGCUGUGCAGCAGCCUGGCAGGCGGUGGGACAGCGGGAGUGGAGUUCAAGACCACAAGCGCGGCUUUGGAAGCGGUGCUUGUCGAGCGACUACGAUCACAGCUGAUGUCAAGAUGCUAACUUGAGCUUCUCCCAACGCCCGCCUUCUUCAAAAGAGAUACUAGAAAGGGCACGUGCUCCAGCCAGUUGCAGUUCCACAUGCGGGCCACGUCCACCGCCAGCCACCCGUUGCAGUUGGCGGCCAUCUUGUCGG